CCUAAUACAUGCAAGUCGAGCGGACAGAUGGGAGCUUGCUCCNGAUGUUAGCGGCGGACGGGUGAGUAACACGUGGGUAACCUGCCUGUAAGACUGGGAUAACUCCGGGAAACCGGGGCUAAUACCGGAUGGUUGUUUGAACCGCAUGGUUCAAACAUAAAAGGUGGCUUCGGCUACCACUUACAGAUGGACCCGCGGCGCAUUAGCUAGUUGGUGAGGUAACGGCUCACCAAGGCGACGAUGCGUAGCCGACCUGAGAGGGUGAUCGGCCACACUGGGACUGAGACACGGCCCAGACUCCUACGGGAGGCAGCAGUAGGGAAUCUUCCGCAAUGGACGAAAGUCUGACGGAGCAACGCCGCGUGAGUGAUGAAGGUUUUCGGAUCGUAAAGCUCUGUUGUUAGGGAAGAACAAGUACCGUUCGAAUAGGGCGGUACCUUGACGGUACCUAACCAGAAAGCCACGGCUAACUACGUGCCAGCAGCCGCGGUAAUACGUAGGUGGCAAGCGUUGUCCGGAAUUAUUGGGCGUAAAGGGCUCGCAGGCGGUUUCUUAAGUCUGAUGUGAAAGCCCCCGGCUCAACCGGGGAGGGUCAUUGGAAACUGGGGAACUUGAGUGCAGAAGAGGAGAGUGGAAUUCCACGUGUAGCGGUGAAAUGCGUAGAGAUGUGGAGGAACACCAGUGGCGAAGGCGACUCUCUGGUCUGUAACUGACGCUGAGGAGCGAAAGCGUGGGGAGCGAACAGGAUUAGAUACCCUGGUAGUCCACGCCGUAAACGAUGAGUGCUAAGUGUUAGGGGGUUUCCGCCCCUUAGUGCUGCAGCUAACGCAUUAAGCACUCCGCCUGGGGAGUACGGUCGCAAGACUGAAACUCAAAGGAAUUGACGGGGGCCCGCACAAGCGGUGGAGCAUGUGGUUUAAUUCGAAGCAACGCGAAGAACCUUACCAGGUCUUGACAUCCUCUGACAAUCCUAGAGAUAGGACGUCCCCUUCGGGGGCAGAGUGACAGGUGGUGCAUGGUUGUCGUCAGCUCGUGUCGUGAGAUGUUGGGUUAAGUCCCGCAACGAGCGCAACCCUUGAUCUUAGUUGCCAGCAUUCAGUUGGGCACUCUAAGGUGACUGCCGGUGACAAACCGGAGGAAGGUGGGGAUGACGUCAAAUCAUCAUGCCCCUUAUGACCUGGGCUACACACGUGCUACAAUGGACAGAACAAAGGGCAGCGAAACCGCGAGGUUAAGCCAAUCCCACAAAUCUGUUCUCAGUUCGGAUCGCAGUCUGCAACUCGACUGCGUGAAGCUGGAAUCGCUAGUAAUCGCGGAUCAGCAUGCCGCGGUGAAUACGUUCCC
rnacentral:rRNA from 1 species